rnacentral:rRNA from 1 species
GAUGAACGCUGGCGGCGUGCUUAACACAUGCAAGUCGAACGGAAAGGCCCUGCUUUUGUGGGGUGCUCGAGUGGCGAACGGGUGAGUAACACGUGAGUAACCUGCCCUUGACUUUGGGAUAACUUCAGGAAACUGGGGCUAAUACCGGAUAGGAGCUCCUGCUGCAUGGUGGGGGUUGGAAAGUUUCGGCGGUUGGGGAUGGACUCGCGGCUUAUCAGCUUGUUGGUGGGGUAGUGGCUUACCAAGGCUUUGACGGGUAGCCGGCCUGAGAGGGUGACCGGCCACAUUGGGACUGAGAGACGGCCCAGACUCCUACGGGAGGCAGCAGUGGGGAAUAUUGCACAAUGGGCGGAAGCCUGAUGCAGCAACGCCGCGUGCGGGAUGACGGCCUUCGGGUUGUAAACCGCUUUCGCCUGUGACGAAGCGUGAGUGACGGUAAUGGGUAAAGAAGCACCGGCUAACUACGUG